rnacentral:lncRNA from 1 species
UGAUGACCUGCUGUCAGCUGUGAUAGCAGACUGGUUUUUAGCUAACUUUAAUAAAGCUACCCUGACAUAAUUUGAAAGGUAGGAAAAUGCAUCAUAGAUAUUGUGGUAGUAGCUGCUGACAUAUGCUUCCAAACCCCUUCUCUGACCUCAAAUUGGAGCGUGCUUUUCUUCUUUAGGCUAUGAUUCUUCGCCUCUGUGAAAGGUUUCUGCAAAAGAAAUGUCUAUUGAACAAAAAGACUCACAAGACAGAGGUUUCUAUCAUCAGAUCUGUGCUUGAUGUUACGAGGAACCCACCAGAUAAGCGACCUGUUUUCCCUGUGCCUCAGAGGAAGUCCUUUGGAGAUGGCUUUCCUUGGGUAGCUGGCUUUGCACUGGCCAUGAUACAGCUAUGUUUCAGCAGUGGGUCAUGUGAACAUAUCAGAGAAAUGCUGUGGAUAAAUGGCAAGGAAAUAAGUGUAAUUUUUCUACAUAAGCCUCCUCUUACUUGGGAUGUAGAUGCUGCUUCCAUCAGCUGUCAUGACUACCUCAGUUGA